rnacentral:pre_miRNA from 1 species
GCUUUUUCCGCGCUGGGGUCCACGCUGAGUUCGCUUUGGAAAAAAUUAAGAAAUUAGUGAACACAGCUGGUGGUAUCUCAGUUCGUAUCUUAGCA